rnacentral:rRNA from 1 species
CCUACGGGCGGCAGCAGUGAGGAAUAUUGGUCAAUGGGCGUAAGCCUGAACCAGCCAAGUCGCGUGAGGGAUGAAGGUUCUAUGGAUCGUAAACCUCUUUUGUCAGGGAACAAAUGCGGGGACUAGUCCCCGGAUGAGGGUACCUGAAGAAAAAGCAUCGGCUAACUCCGUGCCAGCAGCCGCGGUAAUACGGAGGAUGCGAGCGUUAUCCGGAUUUAGUGGGUUUAAAGGGGGCGCAGGCGGCCUGUUAAGUCAGCGGUAAAAGCCCGGGGCUCAACCCCGGCGAGCCGUUGAAACUGGCGGGCUGGAGUUGGAGAGAAGUACGCGGAAUGCGCGGUGUAGCGGUGAAAUGCUUAGAUAUCGCGCAGAACCCCGAUUGCGAAGGCAGCGUACCGGCUCCAAACUGACGCUGAGGCACGAAAGCGUGGGUAUCGAACAGGAUUAGAUACCCGUGUAGUC